UACGACACAGGGAACUCACGAGAGCUCAUCAAUUACAAUGAGUCAGCGUGGAUUUUUUUAGCACGCCCCUCGAUCCUUCUACAAUUCUCUUGGAUCACACACUAGUUGAAGAGGACUAGUUUUCUUGGCGGAGGUGCGGAGUUUUUGAUUCAGGACUGCUGUAUGGGGGCUACUGAAUGGGAGCAGUCACUGGAUUCGUGUGAUACCAACGCAAUACACCAGACUACCUACCACUGCCCAUCGGAUUUGACUUUUUGGGACGUUUAGGGCACAAACAGAACAAGAUCACCUCUAUUUCUCCGGUUGUCCCCUUCCCCUUUCCUUUCUCACGGAUUGUUCUGAAAGAGAAAUCCUGCAGUCAUGGCUCAAAUACUGCCGAUACGAUUUCAGGAACAUCUGCAGCUGCAGAACAUGGGCGUGAACCCCGCCAACAUUGGGUUCAGCUAUCUGACCAUGGAGUCAGACAAGUUCAUCUGCAUCAGAGAGAAGGUGGGCGAUCAGAACCAGGUGGUGAUCGUGGACAUGUCCGACCCCACCAACCCCAUCAGGAGACCCAUCUCUGCUGACAGCGCCAUCAUGAACCCCGCCAGCAAGGUCAUCGCCUUGAAAGACGCUGCCAAGACGCUGCAGAUCUUCAACAUCGAGAUGAAGAGUAAGGUGAAGGCUCACACCAUGACGGAGGAGGUCAUGUUCUGGAAGUGGAUAUCGGUAAACACCGUUGCAUUGGUCACAGAUACGGCCGUCUAUCACUGGAGCAUGGAGGGGGAUUCCCAGCCCACCAAAGUAUUCGAUCGGCACGCCAGUCUGGCCGGAUGUCAGAUCAUUAACUACAGAACUGACGAACAACAGAAAUGGCUACUGCUGAUCGGGAUUUCUGCACAGCAAAACCGUGUGGUAGGGGCGAUGCAGCUGUACUCUGUUGACAGGAAAGUGUCCCAGCCCAUCGAGGGCCACGCUGCGGCCUUCGGGGAGUUCAAGGUGGAGGGAAAUGCCAAAGCAUCCACCCUCUUCUGCUUUGCUGUGCGCUCACAGGCUGGGGGAAAGUUGCACAUCAUUGAAGUUGGUCAGCCAGCUGCAGGAAACCAGCCAUUUGCAAAGAAAGCAGUGGACGUGUUCUUCCCUCCAGAGGCCCAGACAGACUUUCCUGUUGCUAUGCAGAUUGGCAACAAGCAUGGUGUAAUAUAUUUGAUCACAAAGUAUGGUUACAUUCACCUGUAUGACCUGGAGUCUGGAGUCUGCAUCUACAUGAACCGAAUCAGUGCAGAGACCAUCUUUGUUACCGCCCCUCAUGAAGCCACCUCAGGAAUUAUUGGGGUCAACAAGAAGGGACAGGUGUUGUCAGUGUGUGUUGAGGAGGAAAACAUUGUCAACUAUGCCACCAACGUCCUGCAGAAUCCUGAUCUAGCCUUGAGAAUUGCUGUGAGGUCAAACCUCGCUGGGGCCGAGGAGAUUUUUGACAGGAAGUUCAACACUCUGUUUGCACAGGGAAGUUAUUCAGAGUCCGCAAAGGUUGCUGCAUCAGCACCCAAGGGUAUCCUGAGGACAGCAGAGACCAUCCGUAAGUUUCAGAGUGUCCCUGCCCAGCCCGGGCAGGCGUCUCCACUGCUGCAGUACUUUGGUAUUCUGCUGGACCAAGGCCAGCUCAACAAGUUUGAGUCUCUGGAGCUGUGCAGGCCCGUCCUGCAGCAGGGCCGCAAACAGCUGCUGGAGAAAUGGCUAAAGGAGGACAAGCUUGAGUGCUCAGAGGAGCUGGGAGACCUGGUGAAGGCCUCUGACGCCACCCUCGCUCUCAGUGUGUACCUCAGAGCCAACGUCCCCAACAAGGUCAUCCAGUGCUUCGCUGAGACGGGACAGUUCCAGAAGAUAGUGUUGUACGCUAAAAAGGUGGCCUACACCCCAGACUGGGUGUUUUUGCUGAGAAAUGUGAUGCGUGUCAACCCAGACCAGGGACUGCAGUUCGCCCAGAUGCUGGUGCAGGACGAGGAGCCGCUGGCCAACAUCAACCAGAUUGUAGAUGUGUUCAUGGAGGGAAACCUGAUCCAGCAGUGCACCUCCUUCCUGUUGGAUGCACUAAAGAACAACCGCCCGGCCGAAGGACACUUACAGACACGCCUGCUUGAGAUGAACCUCAUACAUGCUCCCCAGGUAGCAGAUGCGAUCCUGGGGAACCAGAUGUUUACCCACUAUGACCGUGCCCACGUUGCUCAGCUGUGUGAGAAGGCAGGACUGCUGCAGAGGGCUCUUGAACACUUCACAGACCUGUAUGAUAUCAAACGGGCCGUGGUGCACACACAUCUGCUCAACCCUGAGUGGCUGGUAAACUUCUUUGGAUCUUUAUCAGUGGAAGACUCGCUGGAGUGUUUAAGGGCCAUGUUGUCGGCUAACAUCAGGCAGAACCUGCAGCUGAGUGUCCAGGUAGCGUCUAAGUAUCAUGAGCAGCUCGGGACCCAGUCCUUAGUGGAGCUCUUUGAAUCCUUCAAGAGUUAUGAGGGCUUGUUUUACUUCCUUGGGUCGAUUGUGAAUUUCAGCCAGGAGCCUGAUGUUCAUUUUAAGUACAUCCAGGCUGCCUGCAAAACAGGCCAGAUCAAAGAAGUGGAGAGAAUCUGUAGAGAGAGCAACUGCUACGACCCGGAGAGGGUUAAAAACUUCCUCAAGGAGGCCAAGCUGACAGACCAGCUUCCUCUCAUCAUUGUGUGUGAUCGCUUUGACUUCGUCCAUGACCUGGUGCUCUACCUCUACCGCAACAAUCUGCAGAAAUACAUUGAAAUCUACGUACAGAAAGUGAACCCCAGUCGUUUACCGGUGGUGAUAGGCGGCCUGUUGGAUGUGGACUGUGCCGAGGACGUCAUUAAGAACCUGAUCAUGGUGGUCAGAGGGCAAUUUUCCACUGAUGAGUUGGUGGAGGAAGUAGAGAAGAGGAACCGGUUAAAACUUCUAUUGCCAUGGCUGGAGUCCCGUAUUCAUGAUGGAUGCGAGGAGCCGGCUACCCACAAUGCCCUGGCCAAGAUCUACAUCGACAGCAACAACACACCUGAGCGCUUCCUGAAGGAGAACACGUUCUACGACAGCGCCGUGGUCGGGAAAUACUGCGAGAAGAGAGACCCCCACCUGGCCUGUGUGGCGUAUGAGAGAGGAGAGUGUGACCUGGAUCUCAUCAAAGUGUGCAACGAGAACUCCUUAUUCAAGAGUGAGGCUCGAUAUCUGGUGCGAAGGAAAGAUCCCGAGCUAUGGGCGAAUGUUUUGGAGGAAGACAACCCCUUCAGAAGACAGCUAAUCGACCAGGUGGUGCAGACAGCGCUGUCGGAGACCCAGGACCCAGAGGAGGUCUCGGUCACAGUUAAGGCCUUCAUGACGGCAGACCUGCCGAACGAGCUGAUUGAACUUCUGGAGAAGAUUGUUCUAGAUAACUCUGUCUUCAGUGAGCACAGAAAUCUCCAGAACCUGCUCAUUUUGACGGCCAUCAAAGCCGAUCGCACUCGUGUGAUGGAGUACAUCAACAAGCUAGACAACUACGACGCUCCAGACAUUGCUAAUAUUGCCAUCAGCAAUGAGCUCUUUGAAGAAGCGUUUGCCAUUUUCAAGAAAUUUGAUGUUAACACAUCAGCCAUACAGGUAUUGAUAGAGCACAUAGGGAACUUGGAUCGUGCCUAUGAGUUUGCUGAGCGCUGUAAUGAGCCCGCGGUGUGGAGCCAGUUAGCCAGAGCUCAGCUGCAGAGGGAUCUGGUGAAGGAGGCCAUCGACUCGUAUAUCAAAGCCGUUGACCCUUCAGCUUACAUGGAGGUGGUCAACGCAGCCAGCAAGAACAAUAACUGGGAAGACUUGGUCAAAUUCCUCCAGAUGGCUCGAAAGAAAGCGAGAGAGUCGUAUGUAGAGACAGAGCUGAUCUUUGCUUUAGCUAAAACAAACCGUCUGGCAGAGCUGGAGGAGUUUGUCAGUGGGCCCAACAAUGCUCACAUUCAGCAGGUGGGUGAUAGAUGUUAUGAUGAGGGCAUGUACGACGCAGCCAAGCUCCUGUACAACAAUGUUUCCAACUUCGCUCGCCUCGCAUCGACGCUCGUCCACCUCGGGGAGUACCAGGCGGCUGUGGACAGCGGCAGGAAGGCCAACAGCACACGGACGUGGAAGGAGGUGUGUUUCGCGUGUGUGGAUGGCGAGGAGUUCCGGUUGGCACAAAUCUGCGGCCUCCACAUUGUGAUCCACGCUGACGAGCUGGAGGACCUGAUCAGCUACUAUCAGGACCGUGCAUACUUCGAGGAGCUCAUCGCUCUGCUGGAGGCUGCGCUGGGCCUGGAGCGCGCCCACAUGGGCAUGUUCACAGAGCUCGCCAUCCUCUACUCAAAGUUCAAACCUCAGAAGAUGAGGGAGCACCUCGAGCUCUUCUGGUCCAGAGUCAACAUCCCAAAGGUCCUUCGUGCAGCAGAGCAGGCUCAUCUAUGGGCAGAGCUGGUGUUCCUUUACGAUAAAUAUGAGGAGUUUGAUAAUGCCGCAAUCACAAUGAUGUCUCAUGCCACAGAUGCGUGGAAAGAAGGGCCGUUCAAGGACAUUAUUGCUAAGGUUGCCAAUGUUGAGCUGUACUAUAAAUCUCUUUCCUUUUACCUGGAAUAUAAACCCCUCCUAAUUAAUGACCUGCUGACCAUCCUGUCUCCGCGGUUGGACCACAGCCGAGCUGUCACCUUUUUCAGCAAGAUGAACCAGCUGAAGUUGGUCAAGCCUUACCUGAGGUCUGUCCAGAGUCACAACAACAAGUCCGUCAACGAAGCCCUCAACAACCUGCUGACAGACGAGGAAGACUUCCAGGGCCUGAGAGCAUCCAUUGAUGCCUAUGAUCACUUUGACACCAUUGACCUGGCGCAGAGGUUAGAGAAACAUGAGCUGAUUGAGUUCAGGCGCAUCGCAGCGUACCUAUACAAAGGCAACAACCGCUGGAGACAGAGUGUGGAGCUCUGCAAGCAGGACAAACUCUACAAGGAUGCCAUGCUGUACGCCGCAGAGUCUAAGGACGCAGAGCUGGCAGAGACCCUGCUCCAGUGGUUCCUGGAGGAGGACAGGAAGGAGUGCUUCGCAGCCUGCCUGUUCGCCUCCUACGACCUGCUGCACCCGGACGUGGUGCUGGAGCUGGCCUGGAGGAACAACAUCAUGGACUUUGCCAUGCCGUACUUCAUCCAAGUCAUGAGAGAGUACAUGACAAAGGUUUCUGAUGUAGGAACCUAGCAUGGACUGUAGACUGAGUACGGCCUCACUAGCUCUGGUCUUGGAGAGCUGUAGUGGUGGACGAACUGGAGGAGGCAGACAGCCAAAGGAAAACUGAAGAGGAGGUGACAGAGCCUCAGCCCAUAGUGUUCGGCCAGCAGCUGAUGUUGCCUGCCUCUCCUGCUCCGGUGGCUGCCCAGCCGCCGUACCCAGGCUACGGUUACCCAGCUGCCCCGGCGGGCUUCCCUGCUCAGCCUGCCUACGGCUACAACAUGUAGAGGCUUAACCCCGCCUCGUCCACCCCUCUCCCCUGCACAUACUCACACACCUUGGACCUAAACCACACUGAACCGUGCUGCUCUGGGUCUCAAUUGGCAGCACGGAGACCCCUGAAACUGACCUGGUCCUUCAUUCCCAAUGAGACUGAAACUGCAAUAUAAAUCCAUCAUCUCUACUUCUCCACACAUACUGCAGAACGACCCGCUCUUACAAGAUUGCUGUACCCUCCCCCCCCUUUCUUUUUUCCACAUGGACAGUAUAAUUGCAUCCCUGAUCUACACAGCAUGAAGUCACCUCUCAGCUUCUAGAGGAAUUAACACACCGAAGAAAAUACGAGUCACACUAAACCACCUGUUGCUGUUCCAUAUAGACUUUAUUAACAAUAGAGCUACUUUAUUUUCAAAAAGAUUCAGCACUGAUGAGGAAGAGACUUGUUACCGAGGAGAGGAGGGGGCUUGGGUGUGUCUCCCUGGUCCCUUCUAUAGCACUGCUACGGCCUUAUUUACUUUGAGGAGGCUGCAAAAAAACUGGCUCAUUUGUUCAUGUUAAAUUUCACAACUGUCUCAUGCUCUGGUUAGACAGAUGGUUACUGUGCAAUAGUUUUGUUUGUCUUCUCACAACAGUUACACAAGUGUUUGCUGUAUAUGGACUGAGAACACUUGUUUAUGAGGUUAUGAUACUGUCUGUGGAUGUGUGUGUGUGAGUGUGUAAUGUAGCCUCUAAAGCAUUUGAGGGAUACGUCAACAAACCAAGAGACACUCAAUGAAAUGUCCAUCACCUGCAAACCUUUCAGAGCUGUUGAUUGUGUCCAUCGACUUUUUGGACUGCGGACAUCUGGAUUUCCAGUAUGCUUGUGACAACAAGAAAGAGGAAAGAAAGAAGGUGAAAUAAUAAUAAAAAAAUGCUAUAUGCUGUAGUCUGUGCAUGUGCUGCCAAACUAUAAUGCUGCAACCAGGAGCACAAUUUUCAUGUUGCAUAUAUCAAGUAUUACUAAUGUUGUGUGUGACGUUAUAUGAAACUUUCUCACCCGACUAACAGAAAGCGGUGAUGAAGCUCCUACAGACUCGAGUAAAUGAAAACGCUGGAUCAUUAGCUCACAUCCUGGUGCCAGUUGGUUCACAAAAAUAAUCAUUAUUGUACUGAAAACUGUAUAAUUUAAGCUAUAUUGAAAUACCUAACUAAUCAAAGAAGUCAGAUAUUAUGGAAUACCGUAUGUAUUGUCUAUAGUGUGUUGUUGUAGUCUCAAAAAGCAUAAUGAUUUUUUGUAAGAAAAUGACAAAAUGCAAAAACAGCAGGUUAAUAAAUGGCAAAGUCUUGAGGCAAGGCUGCUCAAAGUGACAGUUUA